GACGAACGCUGGCGGUGUGCUUAACACAUGCAAGUCGAACGGAAAGGCCCUGCUUGCAGGGUACUCGAGUGGCGAACGGGUGAGUAACACGUGGGUGAUCUGCCCUGCACUUCGGGAUAAGCUUGGGAAACUGGGUCUAAUACCGGAUAGGAGCCAUCUUUAGUGUGGUGGUUGGAAAGUUUUUUCGGUGUAGGAUGAGCUCGCGGCCUAUCAGCUUGUUGGUGGAGUAAUGGCCUACCAAGGCGGCGACGGGUAGCCGGCCGGAGAGGGUGUACGGCCACAUUGGGACUGAGAGACGGCCCAGACUCCGACGGGAGGCAGCAGUGGGGAAUAUUGCACAAUGGGCGCAAGCCUGAGGCAGCGACGCCGCGUGGGGGAUGAAGGCCUUCGGGUUGUAAACUCCUUUCGCUAGGGACGAAGCUUUGUUGUGACGGUACCUAGAGAAGAAGCACCGGCUAACUACGUG
rnacentral:rRNA from 1 species